AGCGAACGCUGGCGGCAGGCCUAACACAUGCAAGUCGAACGAACCUUUCGGGGUUAGUGGCGGACGGGUGAGUAACACGUGGGAACGUUCCUUUAGGUUCGGACUAACUCAGGGAAACUUGUGCUAAUACCGAAUGUGCCCUUCGGGGGCAAGAUUUAUCGCCUUUAGAGGGGCCCGCGUCUGAUUAGCUAGUUGGUUGAGGUAAUGGCUCACCACGGCGACGAUCAGUAGCUGGUCUGAGAGGAUGAGCAGCCACAUUGGGACUGAGACACGGCCCAAACUCCUACGGGAGGCAGCAGUGGGGAAUCUUGCGCAAUGGGCGAAAGCCUGACGCAGCCAUGCCGCGUGAAUGAUGAAGGUCUUAGGAUUGUAAAAUUCUUUCACCGGGGACGAUAAUGACGGUACCCGGAGAAGAAGCCCCGGCUAACUUCGUG
rnacentral:rRNA from 1 species